AUGCAGCAUAACCAUAUUAUUUCUGGAUGGAAUUGAAAUUGUACUUCUGGGGAUGCAUGAUAUAUCAAUUUUGCCAUUGGAAUCGGCUCUUAUUAAUUAUUUUUUUUCAUGCAUUGGUGUUUUUUGGCCCUAUAUUUGCAAUGCACUAAAAGGCAUCUCUUUAAAAUCUGUAAAUAUAAAUAUUGGUGUGUUGUGGCCUUGUGCUUUCAAAAAUAGGAAAGCAUUCAAUAAACAUGUUUGAGCUCAUUUUUGGAAAAGUUAACAUAAUGAUAUUGUAACUGUAGGUCCAUGAGCCACCACCCAACUGUCCCCACCAACUUUCAUCACAAAGUUACGCCCAGCCUUGGAAGCCCAGCAGGAAAAAAAAAAGUUUCCUCCUUUUCAGAAACCCAAAUCUGGUCACCACAAAUUUUAAGCUGUAAAAUAGGUUGUAGCAGUGCAGUUAAAUGUUUGUUUUUUCAUCCUCCUUUGCAGCAAAUAACCUUAAAGACCUUGAAAAAAUCCCUUUAACAAUAGAGGGCUCUGAGAAUAAUUCAAUCAUCUCUGCAGCACAGAUUUAAUAUAUUAGAUUACAGCAGAUGGUUAGAAAAGGUGGAUGUUAGGAGUUUAUUAUGUGAUCAAAAGCUAACACAGCUCUUUGUGUCUGUAUGAUGGGUCUCUGCAGCUUAUUUCAACCCUUUGGACUGCUCCAAACUGCUGACCACAGAUCAGUACGACCAGAUCCGCGUUUACUCGUCCUCUGACUGGUCAAAGCCUCAGCACAUCAUCCAGCAUCCGCACAGACAGUUUCAGCACCUUACACCCAUUAAGGCUACAUGGCAUCCCCUUUAUGACCUCAUCGUUGCGGGGCGCUAUCCUGAUGACCGCAUCUGUGCCGGAGACCAGAGGACCAUUGACAUCUUUGAUGCUAACAGCGGGGAGCUGGUGUUUCAGAUGUAUGAUUCCACCGCUGCAGGGAUCAAAUCUGUCAACAAGUUCAGUCCUAUGGGUGAUGUCAUCGGCUCUGGAAUGGGUGAGCUGUUUAAGCCAUUCAUUGGUUCACUUAGUGGAGCUGAAUCACAUCAGGGAACUGUGAAAAUUUUUAUAAUCUUUUAACUU